rnacentral:rRNA from 1 species
AAUCAACGCUGGCGGCGUGCCUAACACAUGCAAGUCGAACGAGAAAGUGGUAGCAAUACCAUGAGUAAAGUGGCGCACGGGUGAGUAACACGUGACUAACCUACCUUGGAGUUCGGAAUAACCUCGGGAAACCGGGGCUAAUACCGGAUAACACCUACGGGUCAAAGGAGCAAUUCGCUCUGAGAGGGGGUCGCGGCUGAUUAGCUAGUUGGCAGGGUAAUGGCCUACCAAGGCGACGAUCAGUAUCCGGCCUGAGAGGGCGCACGGACACACUGGAACUGAAACACGGUCCAGACUCCUACGGGAGGCAGCAGUGGGGAAUUUUGCACAAUGGGGGAAACCCUGAUGCAGCAACGCCGCGUGGAGGAUGAAGGUCUUUGGAUUGUAAACUCCUUUCGACCGGGACGAU